GGCUGUCUCCACCCGAGACUCAGUGAAAUUGAACUCGCUGUGAAGAUGCAGUGUACCCGCGGCAAGACGGAAAGACCCCGUGAACCUUUACUAUAGCUUGACACUGAACAUUGAGCCUUGAUGUGUAGGAUAGGUGGGAGGCUUUGAAGUGUGGACGCCAGUCUGCAUGGAGCCGACCUUGAAAUACCACCCUUUAAUGUUUGAUGUUCUAACGUGGACCCGUAAUCCGGGUUGCGGACAGUGUCUGGUGGGUAGUUUGACUGGGGCGGUCUCCUCCUAAAGAGUAACGGAGGAGCACGAAGGUUGGCUAAUCCUGGUCGGACAUCAGGAGGUUAGUGCAAUGGCAUAAGCCAGCUUGACUGCGAGCGUGACGGCGCGAGCAGGUGCGAAAGCAGGUCAUAGUGAUCCGGUGGUUCUGAAUGGAAGGGCCAUCGCUCAACGGAUAAAAGGUACUCCGGGGAUAACAGGCUGAUACCGCCCAAGAGUUCAUAUCGACGGCGGUGUUUGGCACCUCGAUGUCGGCUCAUCACAUCCUGGGGCUGAAGUAGGUCCCAAGGGUAUGGCUGUUCGCCAUUUAAAGUGGUACGCGAGCUGGGUUUAGAACGUCGUGAGACAGUUCGGUCCCUAUCUGCCGUGGGCGCUGGAGAACUGAGGGGGGCUGCUCCUAGUACGAGAGGACCGGAGUGGACGCAUCACUGGUGUUCGGGUUGUCAUGCCAAUGGCACUGCCCGGUAGCUAAAUGCGGAAGAGAUAAGUGCUGAAAGCAUCUAAGCACGAAACUUGCCCCGAGAUGAGUUCUCCCUGAGACUUUAGGUCUCCUGAAGGAACGUUGAAGACGACGACGUUGAUAGGCCGGGUGUGUAAGCGCAGCGAUGCGUUGAGCUAACCGGUACUAAUGAACCGUGAGGCUUAACCUUACAACGCCGAAG
rnacentral:rRNA from 1 species